GUGCUCGCUUCGGCAGCACAUAUACUAAAAUUGGAACGAUACAGAGAAGAUUAGCAUGGCCCCUGCGCAAGGGUUAGAAGUAGGGACAGAGAGACCUAUCUGGUUUUC